ensembl:lncRNA
AAAGAAUGUAUCCAUGUUUAGUAGGUCUUAAAGGGGAGUGAAUGUAUCCAUGUUUAGUAGGUCUUAAAGCGGAGUGAAUGUAUCCAUGUUUAACAAGUCUUACAGCGGAAAGAAUGUAUCCAUGUUUAGUAGGUCUUAAAGGGGAGUGAAUGUAUCCAUGUUUAGUAGGUCUUAAAGGGGAGUGAAGGUAUCCAUGUUUAGUAGGUCUUAAAGCGGAGUGAAUGUAUCCAUGUUUAACAAGUCUUACAGCGGAAAGAAUGUAUCCAUGUUUAGUAGGUCUUAAAGGGGAGUGAAGGUAUCCAUGUUUUAUAGGUCUUAAAGGGGAGUGAAUGUAUCCAUGUUUUAUAGGUCUUAAAGCGGAG